CUGCCGCCACUUAACCGACCGUGCCCUCUGCCUCGUGGGGCCCGGGUGCAGUGGCUGCAAACAGCAAGCAGCCUCCUUGGUAAUGGAGCAGCCUGUGGACUGCCCAAAGCGAGACCAUCCUUGGAGACAGUC